rnacentral:lncRNA from 1 species
UUUUUUUUUUUUUGUAUUCUAGGACAACAAUUGAAGAUAGCAGAGAACGUGUACAGAGACACCUGCCCUAUAAGUGCCCAGGGAACAGCAGGACCUGCAGAGUAGAAGAGACAGCCUCCUAGGAGAACCUUAGAGACAGCAGGGACCAAGACAGAUGGGCUCCACACAGCAAGGGCAUUGUAAGUUCCAGGGCUCUAAAAACAUAGAGAACCAUUCACCCCUCAUAUAGAGAACUCCUUUUUAGAAAUAAAAUAACAAAAUAGAGAAGCCCCAGUUAACAGAUUGAGAAAGAAUUUCACCACAAUGAACAACAAUUAACACCAGAGGCUUUAUGAGAAAAUUUUCCAGGGGCGUCACUAAUAUUCCUAGAGAAAACAGAAUUGAGCCAUGAGAAAGUCAUGCAGUCAAGAAUAAGCUCAGACAUCACACUUUUCUUUGCUUUUGACCAUGGGGCAUCAUUAGCUCCUUGCCAUGGCAUCAACAGUAGGGGAAGCAGGAGAUAUUUGAAGGGACUCACUGUUAUCACAGAGCAAAAGUCCACCUGCACUGGCCUUGCAUUUGUGUAGCAACAAUGGGAGAGAGUGAGAGGACAGGUGUGCUCAGUCCGAGCCACUGUCCCCAUGGGUCCUUUAUCUGAGUGUCGGAUGAGGGUGCUGUCCAGUGGGCUGAAACAAGAAUAACCAAAUAAGGAAGCUCUAGAACAAAAUGAGGAAUGGUGGUGUGCCAGAGUCUCCAGGCUAGAGAUUCUUAGCACCAAAAUACUCAGUUUAUCCCCAAGAAGGAGACUGUGCCAGAAGGGAUUUAUUCUAGUCCUUUGCUUGGUAUUAGUUCAUGAGCUCACGUCCUUGGAGGCAUGCGGCAGAGACUGGCUCUGUCUCAUUUAAGCAACACAGAAGUGUUGGAGGGUCUGCCGCUUAGUGAACAGGGUGGCACCUGUGUGGAUAUCUGUGCCCGGGGCUUUGGAGAUACUGGCACCAGGGCUCCUCCACCAGCCCUGGAACAGCACUGGAGAUCCUGAAGACCAUUACUCAAGGCUGCUGGUUGACAAGCAGGUUGACCUUAAAGGUCUUUGCGGGGAUCUAGACUACACGAUAGAACAGGCUAUCUCUAGGCUGUAGAUGUCUGAUUUUGAUUUUGUGCAUAAGGAGCCUACCAUGCUAUGGGUGUCCCUCCUGGCCACAUCCCAGCUAAGGUAACUUUGACCCUUCACACAAUUCCCUUCUGAACCUCAUUUCUUAUCCCUCCCAGCUAAACAGCCCACUAUUUACAGAGCCAACAAAAAAUGCGAACAAUAAGAUGUGGCAGGGCCUGGAUGGCAGGAAUUGAUGCAGCCUGUGCUCAGCUCAGAGCAGUGCCAUGGCCCCCAGCCUUUGCCUCAUUCAAACGAAAGCCAAGGACAUAGAGGAAGACCAGGCCACAGAGUCUCUCUGACGAGGAGGCUGCCUCUCAAAGGGCAGGGAGACGAAUCAGGGACAAUUGUCAAUAGCACCUAAUUGUGAUUUGCUCCAAUUUUCCCAGUAAUAGUUACUCUGCAGUGCACUGCUAGCUCCAGCAAUGAAUAUUUAACAAGAAAAUAUGUCAUCAGAACAAGCCCCCACAGCAAAGGAAUUAAUAUUAAUGGGACGAAAAUUGAGCCUCCUUUUGAACUCUUGGAGAAGACUGAAAAGGUAGUGAUUAUUAAAGAACUCAGCCAGUCUCAAAACUGACCUUGACCUGGGCAGGGCUCAGCAGGAACCCAGAGAAAAGCCAUUAAAUAUUCAGCAUGGGUCUCCCUCCAGCCCUAUUUGGGGCCUAGACCUCCUGACACCUUGCAUUUCAAAGCCAAUCUGCAUAGAGGCUGACGGGGGCCUUGGAAGAGAGCAGGGAGCCAAGAGGAGAGCAGGUGAACGAGGUUGCCCUGGGCCCCAGAGCUGGAUUAGGACCAGAUGGAGCUGGGGUCACUCCACGCCCUCCUUGGAGGGCUCACCCACUUCUGCGGGCUGUAAUUAGGAGCACAGCCCACAUUUCUUAACAACAAGCCCAGAUCUUUACAAACCUCCAGAACAGACCUCGGCACAAGGUGGAUGCGAAGUAAAGAUGAGAUCACUUCUGGACCUCUCAACACUUCUGCCAAAGGAAGGAAGGAAUGGGUGGAGGAGCCGUGCGCUCACCUCCUGUGGGAACAUCCAGGCCGCCCCCCUGGCACCAUUGGUGUUGGAUCUUCUCCAUCCCGCAAGUGGCACUUGGAUUUGUCCACCUCAAGUUCGGGUGAAGGGAGCCUCAGUCAAGGAGAAUCUGACGGAUUUGAUCUUGUCAAUCGGUAGGCGCUCAGCAAACGAGCGUGUACACCUUCACUUACUUCUUCUUUUGAUAAAUGUUUUCUGGAUACCUAACAUACGCAACUGCUGGUCUAGUCUUCAAAUACACCAAAAGCAUUUCCUUCAUAAUGUCUCCUCUUUCUAGGGAAUUAGAUGGAUGGAGGGUUAGCUGGAGGACAAAGGAAAGCCAGGGGAGAUUCUUUACAGGAUAAAGAAACAAAUCAUGCUUAUAUGCCAUUGGAAAUAAGACGAUCGAGGGGGGGAACUGAGAGUAUCGGAGUUAGAGUGGAGGAUGUCUGGAAAAUAACAUCCCUGAGGAGGUGAGGGGAUGGGGUUCUAAAGAACAAGGGAGGAGGUGUCCUUGGAUGGAUACGUAAAAAGAUAAUCCUCAGUUGGAUGGGUGAGUGAAUGUGGGAGUGGAUGGAUGGUUAAAAGGAUUAAUAAAUGAAUAGCCCGGUGAGUGGAAGAAUGGAUGGAUGGAAGGAUUAAUGAAUGGAUGGAUGGAUGGAUGGAUGGAUGGAUGGAUGGAUGGAUGGUUGGAUCGUGACUGGUUGAAGAGGAUGGAUGGAUGGGUAGGUCGAUGGGUGAGUGAGAGGAUGGAUGGGUGGAGGGAUGGGUAGAAGGAUUAAUGAUCAGAUAGGUGGAUAGGUGGGUGGAUGGAUGGAAGAAUGGGUGGUUGGAUUGUGACUGGUUGAAGAGCAUGGAUGGAUGGGUGAGUGAGAGGAUGGAUGCGUGGAGGGAUGGGUAGAAGGAUUAAUGAUCAGAUAGGUGGAUAGGUGGGUGGAUGGAUGAAAGAAUGGGUGGUUGGAUGGGCAGGUGGUUGGGGAAGGAUGGAUGAGCAGGUGGGUGGAUGGUGUGUGAGUGAAAGGGUGUAUGGGUGGAUGGAUAGAAGGAUUAAUGAUCGGAUGGUUGGGUGGGUAGGUGGAUCGAUGGAUGAGUAGGUAUGUGAAUGAAUGGAUGGGUGGAUGGGUGGGUGGUUGGUGAAGGAUGGGCGGGUGGGUGGAUGAGUGGAUGGAUGUUGGAUAGACUGAUGGGUGGGUGAUGGAUAGUGAUGUACUUUGAAUGGAUUAAUAAGUAUUCAUUCAUUUGGGUGGGUUCUAGGAGCUUAGUUAUAACCUUUCACCCCAAAAUCUCAAGGAUCUAAAACCUAGAAGGACUGACAAAAUUUAGCUGAAGACACCUGAGAAGCUGACAGGGACAAAGGGGUCAGGCAUCGACCCCUAGAGAUGCACUGGUGAUGUCAGCCGUGAAUUAAAGAAUGAGACCCUCCUACACUGCUGCUCUUCUCUCACUGCUCAGAAAUUACCUUUCUAGAAUACCAACUUAAUCAUAUCGCUUCCCUGCAUGAAAUCCCUCCCUGGCUUCCCUUUGCCCUUAGGAUAAAACACAGAAUUCUUACUGCGACCUACAAAUCUCACUGUCCCAGCUUCUUCUCCACGGGUUUGGAAUGGUGACUACAGCCUAAGGAUCCGCCCCAAAGCCUGGUAGGUGGAAAGAACAACAACCUCAUUUCUUACGGAGCCUCUGAGCCAGGUGGGUGGUUCUAAUGAGGGCCAGGCCUGGGUUCACACAGGCAUCUGGGUCAGUUGGCAGGCCAGCUGGGGACUGGCUGGCGUAGGAUGGCUUUGGCUUGCGGAACCGGCCUCUGCCUGGGCUUGUUCCCAGGGCUGUGGUGGAAUUGAGGGAGACAGACAGACAACAGAGAGAGAGAUGAGAGCAAGAGGGGGAAGCCCAGCGGCUUCUUGAGCUGUGGUCACUUUCUCCACACGCGGACAGCCAAGCAAGGCCCAAAUGCAGAGGUGUGGGCACGAAGGAAACAGACUCCAGCUGCAGAAGAGAGACGCCGCAAAAUCAGAGUGACACAGCUGUGCUUGCAGGGAAUGUGGGGACAGACGGCGUGUCCACCAGCAGCGUCGCAGGCCACUCUCGGCACCUGCACCCCUGCCUUCUGCCUCUCCUUCUGCCUCAGCACCACAGAGCAUAGCCCUGCGCCUAGAAGGCUCUUCCACACCAACACACCCCCCUCCCGGGGCCAACUCUCACUCAGCCCUCAGGCCAUGGUGGGCCGUCACUUCCUCGGGGAGGCUCCUGAGGCCUCGCUUGGUCCAGAGGCGUCCCGGGGGCCUUCCUUAGAGAGCAAGACAGAGAGCCUGGCGUCAUUCCUCUCGAAGGCUGACUGACGUGCCUAAUCGCACACUCCGUGUCUGUCCAGCAGAGUGUAAGCUCGACCGGGGACGGGUCCCUGUGGGUCUUGGCCCAGCUCUCAAGGCAACGUCUGACACAGAAGAGCUCAAUAACUUUUUACUACCGUCGCGUGAAUCAGUAAGGGCGCCUCUUAGCACCGUAGAGGAUAAACCGUCUUCCUCUUUCCGUCGGUGACUCGCACGCUCUUUUUAUCUUUACGCUCCCAAAGCCGUCCUUCUCGGAGAAAGCGAGACAUUUCAGCGUGAUCUCUUUGUCAGGGUAUCUCGUUCAAACCGACUCUGCUGGGCUGUCCGUCUGCCAUCCCCCUGCACUAAAACCCCUGGGAGGAGACACUGUGGGCAGCGGCGGGAACAGGCCUUGGAAUCUGCAUCCUGGGGCCUAAAUGCAGG